rnacentral:rRNA from 1 species
AUUGAACGCUAGCGGGAUGCCUUACACAUGCAAGUCGAACGGAGUGGCGAACGGGUGAGUAAUGUAUCGGAACGUGCCAAGUAGCGGGGGAUAACUACGCGAAAGCGAAGCUAAUACAGCAUACUCUUGGAGCGGCCGAUAUCGGAUUAGCUGAUUGUUGGGGUAACGGCUCACCAAGGGGACGGACCGUAGCUGGUUUGAGAGGACGACCAGCCACACUGUGACGGAGACACGGACCAGACUCCUACGGGAGGCAGCAGUGGGGAAUUUUGGACAAUGGGGGAAACCCUGAUCCAGCCAUCCCGCUUGUGCGAUGAAGGCCUUCGGGUUGUAAAGCACUUUUGGCAGGAAAGCGGUACCUGCAGAAUAAGCACCGGCUAACUACGUGCCAGCAGCCGCGGUAAUUC